CCUACGGGGGGCAGCAGUGGGGAAUAUUGCACAAUGGGGGAAACCCUGAUGCAGCGACGCCGCGUGAGUGAAGAAGUAUUUCGGUAUGUAAAGCUCUAUCAGCAGGGAAGAAAUAGCGACCUUUGGGUCGCCAGACGGUACCUGACUAAGACGCCCCGGCUAACUACGUGCCAGCAGCCGCGGCAAUACGUAGGGGGCAAGCGUUGGCCGGAUUUACUGGGUGAAAAGGGCGUGCAGCCGGGAAGACAAGUCAGAUGUGAAAACCCGCGGCUCAACCGCGGGACUGCAUUUGAAACUGUUUUUCUUGAGUACCGGAGAGGUCAUCGGAAUUCCUUGUGUAGCGGUGAAAUGCGUAGAUAUAAGGAAGAACACCAGUGGCGAAGGCGGAUGACUGGACGGCAACUGACGGUGAGGCGCGAAGGCGUGGGGAGCAAACAGGAUUAGAUACCCCAGUAGUC
rnacentral:rRNA from 1 species